CUGAGAAGGAGAUAGUUAAGACUUGUAGUGAUGUUUAGGGAAAUUAUCACAUGAACAUCACUUUAAGUCUCUGCUGGCUCCACUCUCAUA
rnacentral:pre_miRNA from 8 species